AGAUCAAGAUUAAUUUUCAUACCAGGAAAAUUAAAUACAUAAUAACUAGUACCGAAACAAUGCCAAUAUAAAAAAAAGUAUUCUUCGUCCAAGUUGAUCUACAACUUCGACUCUGGAGGAGGCCAAAGAAGAGGCAAGAACGAGGCCAAGGAGGAGAGCGGAGACCAAUCAUUUUGUCUCUAUAGCGGUGGGUGAAGGAAGAAGAUCUGUUCCUGCAAAGAUGCCAACAGAUCAUGCCUUGUUUUAUGCCAGUGACAUUUUGAGGCAGAACAGAUCAGCAAUAAAUAAUGUGAAAUUGGAUUCCAUGGUAGACUCAUGAAAGCUUAUAAGCAAGGACCCGAAUGGUGGUCCAUGGUAGACUCAUGAAAGCUUAGAAGCAAGCAUCUUGGCAUUGUUUGUCGGCACUUUUGCAGGAGCAAGUCUUCGUCCUACAGCCACCGCUGCAGGGACAAAAUGGUCGGUCUUCUCCUUAGCCUCCUCCUUGGCCUCCUCCUUGACUUCUUCAUUGGCAUCAACAGCAAGGCUUUUUUUUUUU